GGAAUAGAUCUUUCGUUGUCUGAAUUUGAGAAAAGGAUCAACUCCUUGUUAAUGAAGUCAUUGUAGGUCAAAUGUUUCGUCGCUGUACCAUAUAAAAAUUGCUCAGGAAGGCCAUGUAGCCGACGCUGUCGCCUGUCCUCCAUGAAGUUUGUUAACCAUUCUUUUCGAUCAUCAAUCUUCUUUUUACUGAAGGCCAGUGUAAUGGCAGCAUCAUCUUCAGGACCAGCAUAUCGAAAUAAGAUUCGAUGUCUUUCCAUGUCAGCAAAAUAUUCUUUUGCUUCUUUAGCAGUGCUUGUACCCAAACCUUUAUAAUAUUUUAUCUUCCAUGCUUUAUGAUUUUCCAUAUGUUUCUUCCACUCGUCAAAUUCAGGAAUACUAUAGAAUGAAAGUUCUUGCUUAUUUUUGCUUGCCUUUACAAUAGGAGUGAUGAAUUCUUCAAGAAAACCAUGUUUCAACAGUGAUGGCCAAUUGUGAUGAAUAAAAUUGAUCAACAAGCCUUUUAUGUGAGAUCCAUCCUGAUCCUGAUCUGUCAUUAUCAUGAUUUUUCCAUAUCUCAGACUUUUUAGAGAUUCUGGAUCUUCAUAGCUUUUCUUGUAUUGCAGUCCAACUAUUUUGAUGAUGUUGUUGAUUUCUGCAUUUUCCAUUAUCUGCUUGUGAGAAGCUUCUCGAACAUUGAGAAUUUUACCCCUGAGUGGGAAUACUCCGUAUCUGUCCCGACCAAUAACACCUAAGCCAGAGACAGCUAAAGAUUUGGCAGAGUCUCCUUCUGUUAGUAUUAGUGUGCAGUCCAAGGAAUGUUUGCCACCUGCAUCGUUAGCAUCAUCCAGUUUUGGAAUGCCUUUGAUUUUACUGUGUUUCACAGAUGAGCAUUUUU
rnacentral:lncRNA from 1 species